GCCGCGGUAAUACGGAAGAUGCGAGCGUUAUCCGGAUUUAUUGGGUUUAAAGGGUGCGUAGGCGGUUUAUUAAGUUAGUGGUUAAAUAUUUGAGCUAAACUCAAUUGUGCCAUUAAUACUGGUAAACUGGAGUACAGACGAGGUAGGCGGAAUAAGUUAAGUAGCGGUGAAAUGCAUAGAUAUAACUUAGAACUCCGAUAGCGAAGGCAGCUUACCAGACUGUAACUGACGCUGAUGCACGAGAGCGUGGGUAGCGAACAGGAUUAGAUACCCUGGUAGUCCACGCCGUAAACGAUGCUCACUGGUUCUGUGCGAUAUAUUGUACGGGAUUAAGCGAAAGUAUUAAGUGAGCCACCUGGGGAGUACGUCGGCAACGAUGAAACUCAAAGGAAUUGACGGGGGCCCGCACAAGCGGAGGAACAUGUGGUUUAAUUCGAUGAUACGCGAGGAACCUUACCCGGGCUUGAAAGUUACUGACGAUUCUGGAAACAGGAUUUCCCUUCGGGGCAGGAAACUAGGUGCUGCAUGGUUGUCGUCAGCUCGUGCCGUGAGGUGUCGGGUUAAGUCCCAUAACGAGCGCAACCCUUACCGUUAGUUGCUAGCAUGUAAUGAUGAGCACUCUAACGGGACUGCCACCGUAAGGUGAGAGGAAGGCGGGGAUGACGUCAAAUCAGCACGGCCCUUACACCCAGGGCUACACACGUGUUACAAUGGCCGGUACAGAGGGCCGCUACCAGGUGACUGGAUGCCAAUCUCAAAAGCCGGUCGUAGUUCGGAUUGGAGUCUGUAACCCGACUCCAUGAAGUUGGAUUCGCUAGUAAUCGCGCAUCAGCCAUGGCGCGGUGAAUACGUUCCCGGGC
rnacentral:rRNA from 1 species